GAACGUUCUCGUAUCGAAGCCAUUAUUGC
rnacentral:sRNA from 1 species